GGCCAAAUGGUCUAGUGGUAUGAUUCUUGCUUUGGGCCAGCUCAACUGCAAGAGGUCCCGUGUUCAAUCCACGGUUUGGCCC